rnacentral:rRNA from 1 species
UACGGAGGGGGCUAGCGUUGUUCGGAAUUACUGGGCGUAAAGCGCACGUAGGCGGCUUUGUAAGUUAGAGGUGAAAUCCUGGAGCUCAACUCCAGAACUGCCUUUGAUACUGAGGAUCUUGAGUCCGGGAGAGGUGAGUGGAACUGCGAGUGUAGAGGUGAAAUUCGUAGAUAUUCGCAAGAACACCAGUGGCGAAGGCAGCUCCCUGGCCCGGUACUGACGCUGAGGCACGAAAGCGUGGGGAGCAAACAGG